rnacentral:rRNA from 1 species
UACGGAGGAGGCAAGCGUUAUCCGGAAUUAUUGGGCGUAAAGCGUCCGCAGGUGGCACCUCAAGUCUGCUGUCAAAGACCGGGGCUUAACCCCAGAAAGGCAGUGGAAACUGAAGUGCUAGAGUGCAGUAGGGGUAGAGGGAAUUCCCGGUGUAGCGGUGAAAUGCGUAGAGAUCGGGAAGAACAUCGGUGGCGAAAGCGCUCUGCUGGACCUCAUCUGACACUCAGGGACGAAAGCUAGGGGAGCGAAUGGG